rnacentral:rRNA from 1 species
UGGGGAAUAUUGGACAAUGGGGGCAACCCUGAUCCAGCCAUGCCGCGUGAGUGAUGAAGGCCUUCGGGUUGUAAAGCUCUUUUGGCGGGGACGAUGAUGACGGUACCCGCAGAAUAAGCCCCGGCUAACUUCGUGCCAGCAGCCGCGGUAAGACGAAGGGGGCUAGCGUUGUUCGGAAUUACUGGGCGUAAAGCGAGUGUAGGCGGUUGCCGUAGUCAGGUGUGAAAGCCUUGAGCUCAACUCAAGAAAUGCACUUGAUACUGGGUGACUAGAGGACCGGAGAGGAUAGUGGAAUUCCCAGUGUAGUGGUGAAAUACGUAGAGAUUGGGAAGAACACCAGUGGCGAAGGCGGCUAUCUGGACGGUUACUGACGCUAAGACUCGAAAGCGUGGGGAGCAAACAGGAUUAGAUACCCUGGUAGUCCACGCCGUAAACGAUGGGUGCUAGACGUUGGCGAGCUUGCUCGUCAGUGUCGCAGCUAACGCGUUAAGCACCCCGCCUGGGGAGUACGGCCGCAAGGUUGAAACUCAAAAUGAAUUGACGGGGUCAUAGCUGUUUCCU